UUAUAUUAAGUACAAUUAUAUCCAAGAUGGAUUUAGACCUGAUUAAUAUUUAUUUUUCUUAAUCAUGCUUCUUAUAAAAGCAUUUGAUAUCCAAGAAUGAAAUAAUAUCUUGAUCAUUUACCAAACCACAAAGAUAUCAAUAUUCUUUUCUUAAAUAAACAACGUAAAACUAUAAAAAUUAGAUAAGAUUGAAUUGAUUUAGUGUCAAGGAAUUAUUAUGAUUUUGUUAAAGCAGCGUUUUCAUGUUGAGUGAACAUUAAUUCCUCUUUGGCAGGAAGCUAUACUUGGAAAACAAUAGCAUAUUGCCAAUUCAGUGAUGUAUGACUGUUGUGCACUUAACUUGUUUAGUUUGAGUGACAUUCCUUAUGCAUUUGAUAGACUUUCAAACAUAGCCCCUCCUGGUUUGACUAACAUUAGGGGCUUAAACAGUAUUUAGCAUAAAUUAUAAGGAGAAUUUUAUUCUCAACAUUUUCGAUCGGCGAUUAUUUCGAAGCUAAUUUUGGUCUUCAUCGAAAUUAACGAUCGUUGAUCGCCGAUGAUCAGUGCCUGAAACGUGAAAAAGGAUGACUUGCAUGUUGAGAAUCUAAAGCAAAGACCUUCUUUAAUGCAUUAGAGGUAAUGUUCUUUUUUCCGACCUCUGUUAUUGAUCUAAGAUUACAAUAUAUACGAACUGUUAUUAUUAUUAUUAUUUUAUCUAUUUUUUAAUUUUGAAUAUUACAAAUAAAACAAGUUUAAAACCUAUAAUAAUUUUGUGACGUUCAUAAAAUGUAUUUUUAUAACUUUAUCUAGGAGUUCUUUUUUCUUAUUUUGGGUUAAAAGUAUGAAAGGGAACGAGAUAUCUCAAUUUAUAAAAACAACUUCUUGUCCCCUAUUACUAUUGUAUGGGAACAAAACACAUUUAUGGUCAGUCAAGUUAUGCUUUCGACUGAAUUUUAUCCUAAAUUGUUAAUUGAACAAUCUAAAUAUAUUUUCUUUAAAGAAUUUCCUUUGAUUAUUUGAUUUUAAAAAUAAUUGGUUGUUGUAUUUAACGAAGUCGUUACCAAAUAUGUCUUAGGUGGCGUUUGUUUUUUUUGUCUAAAAUUUUAAUAGAUCUAAAUUUGUCUGAAUUCUAAAUAGGGCUGAAUGUCUAAAUCUGAAUAAUAUGUUUGUUUUUUUGGUUUGA
rnacentral:lncRNA from 1 species